AUUGACGGGCCUGCACAUGCGCAGUUUGGCGCGAUAGACCGUUACACCCGAUAACGUGUUUCUGCGCAGGAGCUUAGCAAGCCAACAUCACCAUAAUAUCGCCUACAAGCGUGAAUAGUCAUUGCGUGAAGGGUUUUGUCCCAGCCCAGCUCUAGGUUAACUGAUACCAAUGCGGCCGCUGCUAAGAAGCACGGAGUAGCUAUGGACCAGAAGACUGCAGCCAAGGCAGCACUGGUCCACACCUGCCUUGUCUGUUGGAGUAAAUACAAACCCGAAGACGUUCAAGCAGCACUCUGAGAGCAAGCAUCCCAAGUCUCCAAUGGUCCCAGUACUGGUUGAUGUGUGGGCCUAAGUGACCACACACACUGAAAUGGACCUACACCCGGGGUAAGACUCUUCCAUCAUUCACACACAGUAGACAUAGUAUAAACCACGAGGUUGUCAACAAAAUUAUGUCCUCAAUGCUUAAGUUGAAUUGUGUGUGGCUCAAUUGGUGGAAAUCACGUGAUCACUCAUCGUCUUUGUUAUGACUGACCAUGAGAAUCUAAAUCGGUCAGAUCAUGUUUGCAAUGAAUAACUUCAAUCAGUCCCUCUCUCCCCAAUAGAGGGGGAUGGAAAGAACUAGUGGGGAUUAACAACUCACAUCCUGUUGUAAAUCAAGGGAGAAGAUCCAUGCCUGUGCUCUCAAAAUUCACCAAAGGAAUGUGCUUUGUCUCAACAGACUUGUUCCCGCUGAAACUCUUAACACUUUCAAAAGCGAAUACUGGACAAUAUUUCUAACGUAGAAUGUGGGGAAUGGUCAGAGGCGAUCUACAGAACACUAAUGUCGUUUUGUAUGCUAUUUUGUGAUGUCAUUAAAAAUGUUAUAAAGGAAAUUCUGGAACUUGGAAAGUAUACCCACUACAUGGAUGAAGUUUCCAUACUAUGGGUUGUGCAUGUAAUAUGGAAAAUUAUGAACGUGUUUUUGUUAAGAGAGGGAUGUGAUAAUAGAGAAUUGUUUCCAUAACUUUGCACACCGCCCCGGAGUGACGUCAUGGAGCAUGCCAGCCUGCCAAAACCGCCAGUUUCAUGCAAAAGUUAUAAAUGAUGGGUUAUGAAUUAACACAUGGGACCAGAAAAGUGUGAAGCUGCAGCUGCGUGUUUAAAAUGGUUUGAACUUUGAAUCUCAAGUCGAGGUGGAGACGAUAAACUCACCUCCCAGAAAAUCACUGGUAUGGCUGAUUGGCUGUCCUAAGUAAAGUAUCUUCAAAAGCGAAUUUAAGUAGGACCAACCUGUUACUCUACUCAAACCAUCGUAUUACGCAACUCUCAUCACCUCACUGGGGAACCAUAGAUACGGCUGGCUAGCCUAUCUUCAAAGAAGCUUCUUCACAGACAGUUUUCCCGACUAUAAAUCCUAACUAUCAACACGAGGAGGAAGAGGCGAGAAGCUCACCUCAGACAAUCACUGGAACAACUGAUUAGCUGUCCUAAGUCAGAUAUCAAGAAAAGCGAAUCUAUGUGAGAUUAUUCUACUACGCUCAUCACCAAUGGGAAUCUUGCUCAUCACCAAAACUAUCUUCCAGAGUGAAGAACAUUAGAAGAGACGGAUCCGGACCAUUUCAGACUUGCAAGCGUGCUGCUGAAAGGCCAACCCACAUCCUUCCUAAGAAGGCCUGGUUCCGACAGAGAUAAAUGGCGAACAAAGGCACCCACACGUAAAUACAUUAAUGAUUUCAUAUUCCAAAUGGGUGGCGGUUCGUAUGCAAAAUAUAUGAUUAAUAUGAGAAUAGUUCUAAAAUGUAUCCAUGAUGAGUGUCCCUUUUUCUCUCUCUCUCGCCUCCCUACCCCACUUUGUUCAUUGUUUAUAAGCCGCCAUAUUUUGUCAGUCCACUAGGGACCUUUAUCUCAUGUAAAGGGUGUAUUUUUAGUCUGUGUUAUUAUUUAGUUAGCUAGUACAUAAAUAAUUUAACCAAUUUGUGUAGUACUUAAUCGUAAGAUUUUGGUUUUUGCAGAUUCAAGGAGGUUACGACUGUUCAGAAUGAUAUGAUACGAGGUUAUGAUGAAUAAGUUGACUGUUUAUAGAUGUGAUAGGUAAAGACCUGUUAGAGUUUAAUUCAGGAGAUGGUCACUCUUUAAAGAACCGCUCUCGUGGUGCCCCAGAUCCUAAUGAGUUAUGUUUUACAUUAUUCAUUUAAUCGGGUAACAAUUAAACAUAGUUAAUUAGAUAAAUAAUAGUCUUCAGAUUAAUGUUAAAGUCAAAUCACGAUAACUUUAAUGUUAUGAUUCACAGACACUCGAUGUUCACAAUUUGAAUGACGUUGAGGGACACGCUGAGACCUUGAGUAUGACUGGACAUGGGCCGGAUAUUUGUGACAAUGACUUAGGUGUGCAGAAACACACCAGUACCAUGACAAGCAAGUUAAAUGUUUACUCCAUUGCCAACCAUUCCUCUAGAUACCCCUUAUUCCACACUGCCUUUUAUGCCCCGUGGUCCUUCAACUUUGAACAUUUUGGAACUCUCCAUCUUAUCUCUAUAAACCCACCCUACCUUCACCCAUUUUCCCUAUGCUGCUUCCAUAACUUAUUCUUCUCCUGAUUUGAUCAAAUCUAGACUAAGUAACAUGUUUAAAAGUGGCCAGCAGAGAUAGGUGGGAUGGGCUGAGGGUUGGGAUGUGGAAUUGGAAACAAGUGGGAGUGGAGUUGCUGGGCGUGGGAUAGAAUGGUGGUCAAAGAUAAAAGUAUAAAAAGUCAAAAUAAAACAACCAUAAAGUAAGUUUGAAUGACACUGUUUCUCCUUCUGUCUUUCUCUUAUUUCUCUUUUGUUCU